rnacentral:rRNA from 1 species
GAAUAUUACGAACAACAGUUUAAAAUUCAAAGACUUUGGCGGUGUCUUAUAAAUCCAGGGGAACCUGUCUCAUAACUCGAUAGUCCACGCACACCAAACCUUCUCUAGAAAUACAGCCUGUGUACUGCCGUUGUAAGCAUACCUCUAAAAGAACAAGUGUGCUACUAUGAUUAAAUUAAUUAACUCAUAUACAUCAGGUCAAAGUGCAGCUAAUAAGAAGGUGAUGAUGGGUUACAACCACAAAAAAGAAUAUCAACUAAGGAUAUAAAAAAUCUUAUGAAAGUGGACUUGGCUGUAAUUAAUAAUUAUAAAAA